rnacentral:lncRNA from 1 species
AUGGGCCAGCAUUUCUCUCUUCAGUCUUUCCCUGUGACUGAAGUUUGGAGAUCUAUUAAAUCUCUCCUCCACCCCAGGUGCACGGUCGGGGGAGAGGCCAGGCCAGAGGUGAGACUCAAGAUGUUCCGGGGCAGGAGGACAUUUGUUGAGGGGACAAGGAAGCGAGCCCUCGGGACAGGGGAAGGCCCAGCGGGCACCAAUGGCGUCAGAUGCUUCUUGGAUGCCACGGAGACGUCAACUCUGAAGCUGAGCCAGGGAGGGCCCCACUGCUGGGGCUCUGGGGAGAGGGAACCAGCAUACAUACCCUGGCAGGGGGCGUGGGCUAGGAGCAGGCGACGCUCCUGCCCCUGCCGUGUGCUGGCUGCCAGCCCGCCAGCCUGUGUGGGUGGGUAUGUGUGCAUGCGUCUCCAAGUACACCUGUGCCGUGUGCCUGUGCACCUGUGCCCGUGUGUGUGUGUGCACCUGUGCUGUGUGUGCCUGUGCACCUGUGCCGAGUGCCUGUGCACCUGUGCCGUGUGUGCCUGUGCACCUGUGCCGUGUGCCUGUGCACCUGUGCCCGUGUGUGUGUGUGCACCUGUGCUGUGUGUGCCUGUGCACCUGUGCCGUGUGCCUGUGCACCUGUGCCCGUGUGUGCCUGUGCACCUGUGCCGUGUGUGCCUGUGCACCUGUGCCCGUGUGUGUGUGCACCUGUGCCCGUGUGUGCCUGUGCACCUGUGCCCGUGUGUGCCUGUGCACCUGUGCCGUGUGUGUGUGUGCACCUUGCCGUGUGCCUGUGCACCUGUGCUCGUGUGUGUGUGCACCUGUGCCAUGUGCCUGUGCACCUGUGCCGUGUGUGCCUGUGCACCUGUGCCCGUGUGUGUGUGCACCUGUGCCCGUGUGUGUGCACCUGUGCCGUGUGUGUGUGUGCACCUGUGCCCGUGUGUGUGCACCUGUGCCGUGUGUGUGUGUGCACCUGUGCCCGUGUGUGCCUGUGCACCUGUGCCCGUGUGUGUGUGCACCUGUGCCGUGUGCCUGUACACCUGUGCCCGUGUGUGUGUGCACCUGUGCCGUGUGCCUGUGCACCUGUGCCCGUGUGUGUGUGUGCACCUGUGCCGUGUGUGUGUGUGCACUUGCUCCUACUUGUGUACCUGUGUCCGUGCGAUUGUGCAUCUGUGUGCGAGUGUACCUGUGUGUUUGGGUACAGGCUCCGGCAGGUGCAGCAGCCACAGGUGUAACCCAAAUCACGAUGGAGGGGAGGUGCCCCUUGAACCUCCUUUCCCGUGCCCACUGCCUCCCAACCCCUGA